rnacentral:misc_RNA from 1 species
AACGUGACGAAGUUACUUUAUUUUCAUUAUACGUAUUUAUUCCAUGCUUGAAUAAUUUCAGGGUUGUCUAGCUUGUUUCUGCCCCAAGACGAGUUAACUUUAUUAUUUUUUAAUUCUGCUUUGAAUGAUUUUAAGACGGUCGGUAUGAUUGCAAGUGUAUUGUUAAAUUCUUGAGAACAGGCGUUUAGCUAACUCAUUCCUUCCCUAAAG